rfam:Tribolium castaneum strain Georgia GA2 unplaced genomic scaffold scaffold_seqid623, whole genome shotgun sequence.
CAAUUGUAAGAUCUAUGUAGCUUGCGCCGUUUGUGGUUUCAAAAGUAGGUGGAUUAUUAGGUUCGUUAAAAAUACACAUAUUGUUAGCGAUUAUAAAGUUCUCCAUUGCAGGAGAAUUAUUAUCUGAAGGAAUCAAAAAAAAAAAAAAAUAGGUGCCCGAAGGCACGUUUAUUCUAAAAACAGCCGCCAAAUUGGGCGGAAAGUCGGUUACAAAAUUGGGCAUGUAUUUACAAUAUUUUUAUUAAUUAUACUAAAUUAAAUUAAAGAAUUAUAUUUCCAGCUUUUCUAUCGUCAAAGUAUGCCGUCUCCUAAAUUUAAGAUGGACAAUAUUGAAAGGAUAAUUUAUCAAAGCUUUCCCAAACCUUGCUUUUCGGUUUUGAAGUUGAACAAAAAAUGGCGAAGUAAAUGUGACAUGAAAAGUCCAGUGUAGGAAAAGUUUGAGAAAUUUUACAACAUUUUUAGGUUGACGGAAGCGAGUAGAAAAGUAGAUUUGUAAAUAAAAAGUACCUAAAACUAACUUACGAAUGCCUAACUUAAAACUAACAAUCACACUAAGGUGAGGGUGUUUUGCGUGUGUGCUUGUGUGAUUGUGCGUGUAUGGUUGUGUGAUUAUGCUAGAGAAAAAAGUGUGUGUGAAGUGAUCGUGUGUGAGGAUAUAUGUGUGUGUGUGAAGUGAUCGUGUGUGAGAAUGUGUGUGUGUGUAUGUGCGUGUGUGUAAUGUUGUGUGUGUCUUGUGUGUGUACAAAUAUAUACAUUAAAGAGUCAAAUCCGGGUAGUCAUAAUCGGGUGGUCAAAUCCGGGUGAUUUCCCAAUCCGUUUUGUGCGUCUGCGAACAGGUGGUGCUCCAAAACCUGGUGGAUUGAGUCAUCCUAACCUAACAUUACAUUCUAACCUAACAAACUUAUUCUAAAGUCACAUCCGGGGGGGUCAAGUCCAGGGAAAGUGCACUAAACACUUCGUCGUUGUCAAUAAAUGGCACCUGAGUGAGGUCAGGUGGCCAGGUUCCGUUGAUUUCACGGAUCUGUUCCUGAACUUCCCCGAAGAGGGGGCAUUCUAAGAUGCGGUGAACCGGGUCAUCGUCAAAGUCGGGGCAAUUUGGACACAAUGAGAUUUCGCUUUUUCCAAGUCGUAAUUGGUGGAUACCAAAAUUCCCAUGUCCCGUGAGAACCUGUGACUUGUGAUGCGAAAACGUGAUGGGGGGUCCUUCGAGGCGGUGGAAAACGUCCGGGAAGAAUUCAAACGAAAUCCGCCCUUUCGUUGAUGUUUCCCAACGGUUUUGCCAGCAAUCAAGCGCUCGAAGUCGGACAUAUUCUUUGCAGUGUGCAAUGGAAUCGAAAGUUUGCGGCGUGAUCUGUUCGUCGAAGAAUAAAACAUUUCGGCCGUGUUUUAUUUCGCUCAAGCAGUUUCGCAUUUGAAUCUCGAUGUCCAUGGGAAAGAUUCCGGCGAGAACGGCAGCAGCCUCUUUCGAGACGGAGGCAUAGCAUUUCGAGAGGAUUCGAUUGAACGGCGCUUGUGCCGACAAAUAUUGCCGGUUAUUCUUCACCACGUGAAGUCGGUCCGACCAAAAAAUUUGGUAUCAGCGUGUCCUCCCUGGCCGAGCGGCCCGGGUAACCCACUGAACCUCCUUCGUGCUAGGGAUUGGGGCUUGCAAUUGUUCCCCAUGAACGAGGAAUUCCCAGUAAGCGCGAGUCAUAAGCUCGCGUUGAUUACGUUCCUGCCCUUUGUGCACACCGCCCAUCGCUACUACCGAUUGAACGAUUUAGUGAGGUCUUCGAACCGGUGCGCGGUGGCGUUUCGACGUUGCCGAUGUUGCUGGGAAGAUGACCAAACUUGAUCAUUUAGAGGAAGUAAAAGUCGUAACAAGGUUUCCGUAGGUGAACCUGCGGAAGGAUCAUUA